rnacentral:misc_RNA from 1 species
AAAAAAAAAAAAAAGUCUGUAUUUCUUCAUUCCCAUUUUAGCAAAACAUGAGGAAACAUAAAACAACUUCAGAAUAGAAUUUAAACUCCUCUUUCGUGUCUGUAAUACAUCAUGCGAAUAAAAGAUUCACAGGACAUGAAGGGGCCAAAGAUAAGGUAAGCUUUCUCUACUGCUCAUCCCAUUCAUCGUUCUUGUAUGAAACCAGAGUGUCAACCUUGUGUAUCUUGGUAUCAAAAGAAUGCAAUUUCACCAUUUGUGGAUUGGAAAUUAAUUUUGGAUCGCUCUCAAUCCAAGUGAAAGGUACUCCAACAUCUUUAUCUGUGUAUGCUAACACAUCAAAUACACCUGAAAAAGAAUCCAAAACAGAAUCAGAGAAAAGCAAUCUAUAAACCAAAAAUGAAAAGAAUGAUUUUUCAGUUCUUACAAGCUUCAUCCAGGCAUGGCAAGUAAGUAAUACUCGAAGCAAUCUGACGCAUGAUUGCCUGUAUCUCUCUCAUUAUUUCUUUAUCACUCUUUUCCCUUGAAACCCUGAUUUCAUUCAUUUUUCAUUUAACCAAUCAUAUAAGAUCCUUCAGGAAAUGGGAAAUAAAUACAAAUACCAAAGGGCUUAAAAAAAUAUUACCCCUUCUCUACCACCUCAUUAUCAGUCUCAAUGCUAAAAUUCCACCUCUCUAGGACCUCAUUGGUGGCCUUGCUCAUUAUCACAAGAACAACCCUCUGUAACUUCCCAGCUUCCAGCCAUUCUUUACAAAAUUUCAAGAAUUUUUAGCUAAAUCUCAUAAUUUCCAACGACUGAAGAUUAGAAAAAAAAAAAUUAAUAAAGAGAAAAUUCAAAAACAGGAUCUUACCUGAUAACUGAGCAGUUAGGUUGGCAAUAAAGGAUUUAACACCUUCAUCUUGAGUGAGCAACAUUGGGAGUCCAUAUUUCUUCACCUUCACAAAACUUUCUUCUGGAUAAACCCCACGAUUGUACAGUAUACUAAACAACAAAUCAUCUAUCACUAAUCCUUUCAAGACCAAUAAAGACAAAAAAUUAAAAGACAAAAUGCACUAAAAAUCCAAACCCAAUGAGCUUUUUACCUGUUCGCUGCAUAACCUGAAAAAGGGAUUAAUUAAACAGAAACACAAAGAUCAGCCCUUUCUCCAAAACCCAACAAAGAAAAUAAAAAAUUGAACUAAAAAAAAAAAGGAUCCAAAAUGUAGAUUAUGGAUUACAACAUACCAAAGAACUCACUGACAAUUGCUGCAGAACCGCGGAGAGUGAUGAUGUCUUUCGCAACCGUUUUGGAUGCCAUUACAGUUCGAGUCUAGUAAAUCUACAGGCAAAAUAAAAGAAAGAAAGAAAGAAAAGAAUCUGGGUUGGUUUUGUUGGGAUAAAAAAGAAGAAAAACAAAUUUGGUUCUUUUCUGGUGCAAUCGAAGAUGGUAAUUUGAUGGAACUAGGAGGAUAUUUGACAGAGUUUAGAAGA